UACGUAGGGGGCAAGCGUUGUCCGGAAUCACUGGGCGUAAAGGGCGCGUAGGCGGCGCGGUAAGCACGCGGUGAAAGCCCGGGGCUCAACCCCGGGUCGGCCGUGCGGACUGCCGCGCUGGAGCACUGUAGAGGCGGGCGGAAUUCCGGGUGUAGCGGUGGAAUGCGUAGAGAUCCGGAAGAACACCGGUGGCGAAGGCGGCCCGCUGGGCAGUGGCUGACGCUGAGGCGCGACAGCGUGGGGAGCAAACAGG
rnacentral:rRNA from 1 species